GUCAUAUAUGAUGAGAAUUCUUACCGAAAAUGAAUGAAAUGAUUUCAUCUUUCAUGCACUACCAUCUGAUGUGAC